UUAAACGACUCUCGGCAACGGAUAUUUUGGCUCUUGCAUUGAUUAAGAACNUAACCAAAUGCCAUACUUGGUGUGAAUUGCAGAAUUCCGUGAACCAUUCAGUUUUUGAACGCCAGUUGCGCCCGAAGCCUUCGGGCCGAGGGCACGUCUGCCUGGGUGUCAUGU
rnacentral:rRNA from 1 species